UGGGGAAUAUUGCACAAUGGGCGAAAGCCUGAUGCAGCGACGCCGCGUGCGGGAUGAAGGCCUUCGGGUUGUAAACCGCUUUUAAUUGGGAGCAAGCGAGAGUGAGUGUACCUUUUGAAUAAGCACCGGCUAACUACGUGCCAGCAGCCGCGGUAAUACGUAGGGUGCAAGCGUUAUCCGGAAUUAUUGGGCGUAAAGAGCUCGUAGGCGGUUUGUCACGCCUGGUGUGAAAGUCCAUCGCUUAACGGUGGAUCUGCGCCGGGUACGGGCAGGCUAGAGUGCAGUAGGGGAGAUUGGAAUUCCCGGUGUAACGGUGGAAUGUGUAGAUAUCGGGAAGAACACCAAUGGCGAAGGCAGAUCUCUGGGCUGUUACUGACGCUGAGGAGCGAAAGCAUGGGGAGCGAACAGGAUUAGAUACCCUGGUAGUCCAUGCCGUAAACGGUGGAUGCUGGAUGUGGGACCCUUCCACGGGCUCCGUGUCGGAGCUAACGCGUUAAGCAUCCCGCCUGGGGAGUACGGCCGCAAGGCUAAAAC
rnacentral:rRNA from 1 species